UGUAACGUAAUGUAGACUGAAGCCUGCUCGCAAGUUGUUUUUUUGCAGAAUGGUAAGGGUUAGACUCAUGAAUAUUCAUUAGGGAACUCAACCCUGAA